GGGGCCGACUGGAAUCGACCGGACAUUACCGUCCGGCCGCUGCGCGCCGUGGAGCAUGCUGGACACGUUAAAAGUAUGCAAAACAAUACCUGCAAACACGCAGUAUUCCCUCGCAGCCUAAUUGGCUGUGACGAUCCCCACUCGACGCCCGAUGGGGUGAAGGAUCGAAAAUAUCGGGCUGGCUUCAAGGGGCUGGCAGACCUCUGCGAGGUAAGAAAAUUGUCUACCUGGGACUUCAUUGCGCCCGCUGCAGGCGAAUGUGAAGUCUGAGACAGGAACUGCAGAUACGCGCGUAGAUGCGACCGGGUGGCUGUAACGGCACGGGGGUUCGAAUCCCCCCGGCUCCAUUU
rnacentral:tmRNA from 1 species